UACGUAGGGGGCAAGCGUUGUCCGGAUUUAUUGGGCGUAAAGAGCGUGUAGGCGGCCUUACAGGUCAGCUGUGAAAACUCGAGGCUCAACCUCGAGACGUCGGUUGAAACCGUAAGGCUAGAGUCCGGAAGAGGAGAGUGGAAUUCCCGGUGUGAGCGGUGAAAUGCGCAGAUAUCGGGAAGAACACCCGUGGCGAAGGCGGCUCUCUGGGACGGUACUGACGCUGAGACGCGAAAGCGUGGGGAGCGAACAGG
rnacentral:rRNA from 1 species